rnacentral:rRNA from 1 species
GAGUUUGAUCCUGGCUCAGAUUGAACGCUGGCGGAAUGCUUUACACAUGCAAGUCGAGCGGCAGCGCGGGGCAACCUGGCGGCGAGCGGCGAACGGGUGAGUAAUGCAUCGGAACGUGUCCAGUAGCGGGGGAUAACCUCUCGAAAGAGAGGCUAAUACCGCAUACGACCGAGAGGUGAAAGCGGCGGACCGCAAGGCGUCGCGCGAUUGGAUGAGCCCAUGUCGGAUUAGCUAGUUGGCGGGGUAAAGGCCCACCAAGGCGACGAUCCGUAGCUGGUCUGAGAGGAUGAUCAGCCACACUGGAACUGAGACACGGUCCAGACUCCUACGGGAGGCAGCAGUGGGGAAUAUUGGACAAUGGGCGCAAGCCUGAUCCAGCCAUGCCGCGUGAGUGAAGAAGGCC